UGCACAGACAACCAGGAUGUUGGCUUAGAAGCAGCCACUCAUUUAAAGAGUGCGUAAUAGCUCACUGGUCGAGUGAUUCUGCGCCGAAAAUUUCCGGGGCUAAAACUUACUACCGAAGCUACGGCAUCAUUAUGAUGGGUAGGGGAGCUUUCUAUGUGGCUUGAAGCAUGACCGUAAGGACAUGUGGACUGCAUAGAAGUGAGAAUGUUGGCAUGAGUAGCGAGAUGUGGGUGAGAAUCCCACAGGCCGUAAACCCAAGGUUUCCAGGGGAAGGUUCGUCCGCCCUGGGUUAGUCAGGACCUAAGCCGAGGCCGAAAGGCGUAGGUGAUGGACAACAGGUUGAUAUUCCUGUACCACCAAUAACCGUUUGAGAAAUGGGAUGACACAGUAGGAUAAGCUAACCGCACUGUUGGUUAUGUGCGGGCAAGUAUUGAGGCAGUUCCGAUAGGCAAAUCCGUCGGAAUAAUGCUGGGGUACGAUGCGGAGCGAAAUUAAGUAGCGAAGUAGCUGAUUUCACACUGUCGAGAAAAGUCUCUAUCGAGGUUAAAGGUGCCUGUACCGCAAACCGACACAGGUGGGUGAGGAGAGUAUCCUAAGGCCAGCGAGAGAACUGUUGUUAAGGAACUCGGCAAAAUGACCCCGUAACUUAGGGAGAAGGGGUGCCUUCGAAAGAAGGCCGCAGAGAAUAGGCCCAAGCGACUGUUUACCAAAAACAUAGGUUUCUGCUAAGUCGCAAGACGAUGUAUAGGAGCUGACGCCUGCCCGGUGCUGGAAGGUUAAGGGGAUCUGUUAGAGCAAUCGAAGCAGUGAACUUAAGCCCCAGUAAACGGCGGCCGUAACUAUAACGGUCCUAAGGUAGCGAAAUUCCUUGUCGGGUAAGUUCCGACCCGCACGAAAGGCGUAACGAUUUGGGCACUGUCUCAACAACAGACUCGGUGAAAUUGUAAUACCGGUGAAGAUGCCGGUUACCUGCGACAGGACGGAAAGACCCCAUGGAGCUUUACUGUAGCUUGACAUUGAGUCUCGGUGCUACAUGUACAGGAUAGGUGGGAGACUAUGAAGCAUGGACGUCAGUCUGUGUGGAGUCAUCCUUGGGAUACCACCCUUGUAGUACUGGGAUUCUAACCAGAGGCCAUGAAUCUGGUCUUGGGACACUGUCAGGUGGACAGUUUGACUGGGGCGGUCGCCUCCCAAAAAGUAACGGAGGCGCUCAAAGGUUCUCUCAGUACGGUCGGAAAUCGUACGAAGAGUGUAAAGGCAAAAGAGAGCUUGAUUGCAAGACAUACAGGUCGAGCAAGGACGAAAGUCGGACUUAGUGAUCCGGUGGUUCCGCAUGGAAGGGCCAUCGCUCAACGGAUAAAAGCUACCCUGGGGAUAACAGGCUGAUCUCCCCCAAGAGUCCACAUCGACGGGGAGGUUUGG
rnacentral:rRNA from 1 species